AGUCACUGACAUUAGAUACCCGGGUAGUCCAGGGUGUAAACGCUGCAGACUUGGUGUUGGGGCCCUUUGGGGGCAUUCAGUGCCGGAGAGAAGUUGUUAAGUCUGCUACUUGGGAGUACGUCCGCAAGGAUGAAACUUAAAGGAAUUGGCGGGGGAGCACCGCAACGGGAGGAGCGUGCGGUUUAAUUGGAUUCAACACCGUAAACUCACCAGGGAAGACUGUUACAUGAAGGCCGAGAUGAAGACUCUGCUAGAUUUUCAG
rnacentral:rRNA from 1 species